UGCGUAGGCGGCGGCAUAAGUCAGAGGUGAAAUCCCACAGCUCAACUGUGGAACUGCCUUUGAUACUGGUUGUCUUGAGUUACAGUGAAGUAGAUAGAAUAUGUAGUGUAGCGGUGAAAUGCAUAGAUAUUACAUAGAAUACCGAUUGCGAAGGCAGUCUACUAACUGUAUACUGACGCUAAUGGACGAAAGCGUGGGGAGCGAACAGGAUUAGAUACCCUGGUAGUCC
rnacentral:rRNA from 1 species